UGGGGGCCUUGGUCUCAGGCUCUGGGAGGGCAGGUGGGAAACCUCAUGUGGGCUCCUUGCUCCAAACUUGUUCCCAGGAUUUGGAGUCCAUGGCAGAGUUGGGGCAGGCAGGGUUCUAGGGAGUCAGUAAUCAACACCCCACGUCCUGCAGGGGCUCAGCGAGCGUCUGCCUGGCCUGUCCUUGUCUCCCAGGAAAGCAGGGCUGAGGAUGCCCCGCAGUGUGGCCCUGGCCCAGGUGGCCCCGCUUCCCCUCCAGCUUCCUGUGAACAGCUGCCACAAGGCCUCCUGUCCUCAGAAGGUUGAACUGGAAGCAGAUGGCCGCGUGGGCAGGAAGCGCCCUGCAUCUGGAGGGGCCUGUGGGCCAGGGCCCUUGCUUGCCACCCAGGGCUCUGAGGCAGAGGCCAGACCCCCAGAGCCUCCCGUCGCCUGCUCCUUCGCUCUGUGGCUCCGUGGGGACUGAGGCCCAGAGGGGCUGGCUGUGCUGAGGCCACGCGGCUGGAGCCUGGGGCAGGGCCCUCCCAACGCUCAGCCCCCACACAGGCCUGACCCCUGCCCCCUCCGCCGGGACCGUGGUGUGAGCCACCAGCGCUUCUGUGCCCUGGGGCCUGGGUUGAAAUCCCUGCACAGCCCUCACUUGCUGUUGGCUUUGGACAAGGCGCCUCCCUGUGUGGCCUCAGUUUACCCACAGGCAGUGGGUGUGAGCACAGUGGGGGACAGGCUCCCUGUGCUGGGGGUGCUGGCAGUGUCAUUCUGUAUUUCAGUCUUCAUGUGGCCACAUGGCUGUGAAAUAAAGGUUUAGGGAGCUCAGAAUAAAAAGAUGUUCCACCUCCUGCCCGGGGGCCCGCGCGGCAAGCCUGGGUGCACACGUGUGUGCACGAGUGUACACACGUGUAUGUGCAGGCAUGUGUGUAUGUUUCCACGCGUGUGUGUGUGUGGCUCCCCCGCCCCAGCAGGUGGCAUUUCCUCUCGAGCUCGGCACCCGGCUCUUUUCCGGGACUGGGGACGGGGGUGAGCGCUGGGGGUGAGCCCACUUUGGCAUUUCUGGUUUAUGCGUGUUGGGAGCACAUACGUGACGAGGUGUCACCAGCCACGCGGCUUUGCAAGAGCGGAGCAUGGGGACAGCCUCGUGCCCUGGGCACGCCGGGCGUGGGGGCCGCCCACCCAGCUGUGAGUGUAGCUGGAGGCCCCUGUGGGAAGGCAAAGUGGGGUGCUGGUGGGGCUCGGCCAUGUGUUAAGGCCGCAGAGAGCGGGACCAGGGACCUGGGCCUUGGAGGAGGCUUCCCCUUGGACUCUGGCGUCUAGAAUUUCAGACCAGGUGGAUAUGCUGCUGAGAGCGCCGUCGGCGAGGGGAGGGGGGGCAGGGAGCAGAGCCCACCCUCCCUCGCUCCUGUGUGUGUUAGUCUGGGUUAAAUUUAAACUUGAAAAGACACAGGUAAAAGCGAGGCACUGCCCUCCUGUAGCUGUGUGUUUUCCGCGGUGACAGGUGACAUUUCCAGAGGUGGAGCAGAGGCGUGUGGACACCGGGUCCACCCGUAGCAGGGCUGUUUCGGCGCCCCCUGGGCAGCCUGCCUCCAUCCCUGCAUCUUUCAUGAGUCUGGAAACAGGAUCUCCCGAGUGACCCCAGGA